GAUCAUGGCUCAGGAUGAACGCUGGCGGCGUGCUUAACACAUGCAAGUCGAACGAAGAUGCCGGAGUGCUUGCACUUUGGCAGACUGGGUGGCGGACGGGUGAGUAACGCGUGGGUAACCUGCCUUAUACAGGGGGAUGACAGUUGGAAACGACUGCUAAUACCGCAUAAGCGCACGGUAUCGCAUGAUACAGUGUGAAAAACUCCGGUGGUAUAAGAUGGACCCGCGUCUGAUUAGCUAGUUGGUGAGGUAACGGCCCACCAAGGCGACGAUCAGUANCCGGCCUGAGAGGGUGAACGGCCACAUUGGGACUGAGACACGGCCCAAACUCCUACGGGAGGCAGCAGUGGGGAAUAUUGCACAAUGGGGGAAACCCUGAUGCAGCGACGCCGCGUGAGUGAUGAAGUAUUUCGGUAUGUAAAACUCUAUCAGCAGGGAAGAUAAUGACGGUACCUGACUAAGAAGCACCGGCUAAAUACGUG
rnacentral:rRNA from 1 species